UUAGCGUUAACCAGAAUCCUUUUCUAGUCCCGUCGUCUAAGCCAAUGGCUGAGUGGCGGGGCGGGUGUAAGGUGACUGACCUCACCCUAGGCAAAUGACAAUGAAGGAAAUGGAGGUGCCCCGUUUUGGUGGGAGCUAGAGGAAGCGCCGCUGCAUUGGGGCGGAGCCAGCCACCAGACGCCGGGAGGGGAUUAGCCGGAACCGGAUUGAAUGGCAGCCGACGUGGGCAUUGGCCACCGGCUGCAGGAAUUCAGGCCUGACGUCUGGGUUAGAGUCCCCGGAGGCCGGCCGGGGAUCUAGGGUCUUUACUUCUCUUCCAGAAGGCAUGGAACCGGCUCUCCUACCAACUCAAGGGUCUAGAUUUCCUCCCAGGACCGAGGGAUCCUAGGCUCUUAAUUCGACACCCUACAUCAGCUUCACAUAAGGUCCUUGGAUCCGAGCUCCAAUCGCUUCUCGGCCUUUUGGCUAAGAUCAAGUGAAUCCGAGCUCCAAGCUCUUAUCUAGGCCCUCAGUUUAUUUUCUGGACCCAGGCAACUUCCAGACUUCCAAUUCCCGUUCAAGACUAAGAGGCCCAAGCUACUCCCGCCCCACCCCCCACCCCCCACAGGACCCAGGUAUCCAGAUGCCCAGCUGCCCUCCUGAACCCAGAUAUUCCAGACACGGCCAGCAGAAGCCAUCUGUUUAUUCCUCAUUGUUUCCACAUUCACCCUUUUGCCAUGGAAUCAGGACAAGUCGCAGCAAGCCAAACUGGAGUCCAGACUAGUCCCAGGCUGCACCCAGGAGAGGAGGCACCAGGAAUUUUCUGACCCAGCAACCAGCCUGCUUCUCCUGACAAAUCUGCCCUCGGUCCCAAGCCUGGAAGGCCCUUUGGGGCCAGGGGACACUGGAUCUUCCCCUCCAUUUCUGCCCAGGUAGCCCAAGGAAAAGAACACACUUGUGUAAUUAGAAAAACAUACAGGACAAAUUAGGAGGGCUCUGGAAUGUGGACUUGCCCCUGCACCCACUUUACAGAUGUGGAACCUGAGGCUCAUGGAGUCAUUUCCUGGUCUCCGUGAAUGAUGGAUGACAACCCAUAUGUCUUCCCUGGCUGGGCCAGGCGGUCAUUGCAGCAAGAGGGACUAACAGUGGAACCUACCACUCCAAGUUGGGGCUUCUCCUGGCCUUGGACUUGGCUGCUGAACUUUUCACCCCAAUCUGGAGGGCCCACAUUUGGGGAUGAUGAGAAGCAGAACAGAUGUUCUCAAGGACCAACUCUGCGCCAUCUAGGCCUGCAACAGCCCUCCCGCUCCAAUCACAUUCCCUACGCGGCCACUGAAGCACAAUAUCUAGCCGUGCUGUCAUCCCGCCCGUGCGCCUCCUUUCUCGGUUCCACUCAGCCUGGGAAACGGAAGAUCAACGCGCCGGGCUGCUGCAAAGUCGGUUUCCUAUUGGCCAGAGCCGCAAGAGCUGUGCCCGCCCGUCCCGCCUCUCCCACCCACCUAGGCGGGGCUUCCCCACUGACCCAGGGCAGCCUUCUGCCCCGCGGCCCCUGGCUCUCCAGGAAGUCUUAAAGGGGCCCCGACCUGAUCCGGACACCGAGAAAAUUGCUUUCUCCCGACCUGCCUGGGGAGGAGUCCCAGGCGCGGCUGGGGAUAAAGGCCGCGUAACUGGAGGCGGGGCCCCAGUCUGUCGCGCUCCGUGCACCUGCCGAAGGUCCCUCCCACUAGUUUCGGGCGCAGUUUCUCGAUUCAACAUUAGGGGGAGGGGCGCCCGGGCCUUUUGACAGCGAAUAAUAAUAAUAGCUGACGUUGAUUCAUUGCGUUGCACAAGCCUGGUCUUUUACUCACCUCUCGCGUCGUCGUCUCUAAAACCCUAAA